rnacentral:misc_RNA from 1 species
UCUCCGUAGGUGAACCUGCGGAGGGAUCAUUACAAGUGACCCCGGUCUUACCACCGGGAUGUUCAUAACCCUUUGUUGUCCGACUCUGUUGCCUCCGGGGCGACCCUGCCUCGGGCGGGGGCUCCGGGUGGACACUUCAAACUCUUGCGUAACUUUGCAGUCUGAGUAAACUUAAUUAAUAAAUUAAAACUUUUAACAACGGAUCUCUUGGUUCUG